AUCUUUAGUUUGUGAAAGGCGGUGAGUUGUGACGACUGCUGUCCUGAGACCAUUGAGUGCAGUCUGGAAUAUUCCAAAUGUGUGCCAGUUCCAUAAGAAAAAAGUUCCAAUCAAGAGUACACUCACCAGUGGGCUCAAUAGUCCAGGACAAAGUCGGUCUGUCCUUCUACUACUACAUGCUACUUGACUUUGUCUGGAAGCCAUGGAUGCUGCCCUCAACAUGCUAAACCCUCACAAAUAAGCUGAUAUCAAGAAUUAACAUUGAUGGUGAUGAUGGAAAGGCCUUCAUAAGGU